CAAUGGGCGAAAGCCUGACGGAGCAACGCCGCGUGAGUGAUGAAGGUCUUCGGAUCGUAAAACUCUGUUAUUAGGGAAGAACAAAUGUGUAAUUAACUAUGCUCGUCUUGACGGUACCUAAUCAUAAAGCCACGGCUAACUACGUGCCAGCAGCCGCGGCAAUACGUAGGUGGCAAGCGUUAUCCGGAAUUAUUGGGCGUAAAGCGCGCGUAGGCGGUUUUUUAAGUCUGAUGUGAAAGCCCACGGCUCAACCGUGGAGGGUCAUUGGAAACUGGAAAACUUGAGUGCAGAAGAGGAAAGUGGAAUUCCAUGUGUAGCGGUGAAAUGCGCAGAGAUAUGGAGGAACACCAGUGGCGAAGGCGACUUUCUGGUCUGUCACUGACGCUGAUGUGCGAAAGCGUGGGGAUCAAACAGGAUUAGAUACCCUGCUAGUCAACGCCGUAAACGAUGAGUGCUAAGUGUUAGUGCGUUUCCGCCCCUCAGUGCUGCACCUAACGCAUUAAGCACUCCGCCUGGGGAGUACGACC
rnacentral:rRNA from 1 species